rnacentral:rRNA from 1 species
GCAGCGGGGGUAGCAAUACCUGCCGGCGACCGGCAAACGGGUGCGGAACACGUACGCAACUUUCCCAAAACUGGUGAAUAGCCUUCCGAAAGGGAGAUUAAUACACCGUAAGAUGUAGGAGUGGCAUCACUCUUAUAUUAUAGCUCCGGCGGUUUUGGAUGGGCGUGCGGCUGAUUAGGUAGUUGGCGGGGUAACGGCCCACCAAGCCUGCGAUCAGUAACUGGUGUGAGAGCACGACCAGUCACACGGGCACUGAGACACGGGCCCGACUCCUACGGGAGGCAGCAGUAAGGAAUAUUGGUCAAUGGACGCAAGUCUGAACCAGCCAUGCCGCGUGCAGGAUGACGGCCCUCUGGGUUGUAAACUGCUUUUAUAGGGGACGAAAAAAGGGCUUUCUAGCUCGUCUGACGGUACCCUAGGAAUAAGCACCGGCUAACUCCGUGCCAGCAGCCGCGGUAAUACGGAGGGUGCAAGCGUUAUCCGGAUUUACUGGGUUUAAAGGGUGCGUAGGUGGGUCGGUAAGUCAGCGGUGAAAUCUUCGAGCUUAACUCGGAAACUGCCAUUGAUACUAUCGAUCUUGAAUCAUCUAGAGGUAAGCGGAAUAUGUCAUGUAGCGGUGAAAUGCUUAGAUAUGACAUAGAACACCAAUUGCGAAGGCAGCUUACUAU